rnacentral:rRNA from 1 species
AACGAGCGCUGGCGGCGUGCUUAACACAUGCAAGUCGAGCGGAAAGGCCCUUCGGGGUACUCGAGCGGCGAACGGGUGAGUAACACGUGAGUAACCUGCCUUCAGCUUUGGGAUAACCCUCGGAAACGGGGGCUAAUACCGGGUAUGACUGCCUGCCGCAUGGUGGGUGGUGGAAAGAUUUUUUGGCUGGAGAUGGGCUCGCGGCCUAUCAGCUUGUUGGUGGGGUGAUGGCCUACCAAGGCGACGACGGGUAGCCGGCCUGAGAGGGCGACCGGCCACACUGGGACUGAGACACGGCCCAGACUCCUACGGGAGGCAGCAGUGGGGAAUAUUGCACAAUGGGCGGAAGCCUGAUGCAGCGACGCCGCGUGAGGGACGACGGCCUUCGGGUUGUAAACCUCUUUCGACCCUGACGAAGCGCAAGUGACGGUAGGGGGAGAAGAAGCGCCGGCCAACUACGUGCCAGCCGCCGCGGUAAUAC